AAAGAUGGUAGAUUAUGUUUCUAAAAGUUGAACCUAGAGGAAACUCUGGUGGAAGGUGUUAGUGAUUCUGACGUGCAGGUCGAUCAUAUAAAGGAAGUAUAGGGGAGAAAGACUAACCAAACCAUUUAGUAC
rnacentral:ncRNA from 1 species